rnacentral:rRNA from 1 species
GACGAACACUGGCGGCGUGCCUAAUACAUGCAAGUAGACCUGAGUUGCGAACGGGUGAGUAACGGGUAGGAACCUGCCUCAUAGCGGGGGGUAACUAAAGGAAACGAUAGCUAAUACAGCAUAAUGUGAGAUGGAACUGCGUUGUAUUAGCUAGUUGGUGGGGUAACGGCUCACCAAGGCGACGAUCCCUAGCUGGUCUGAGAGGAUGACCAGCCACACGGGAACUGAGACACGGUCCAGACUCCUACGGUAGGCAGCAGUGGGGAAUAUUGGACAAUGGGCGAAAGCCUGAUCCAGCCAUGCCGCGUGUGUGAAGAAGGUCUUCGGAUUGUAAAGCACUUUAUGUUGGGAGGCGUUACCAACAGAAUAAGCACCGGCUAACUUCGUGCCAGCAGCCGCGGUAAUAC